GGUUAAACGAAGAGCUGAGCUAGCGGGCCCAUUCAAGUGAGACACAUCCGGGGAAGCCUUGCGCUGAGCGGAAAGUGCAACCGCUUUUUCUGUCCGGUCUGAUGAACCGAAGCUUGCUUGUUUUUCUGCCGGUCUGCGAAAACAAUCAAUUAUUUAAACAUUAAAGGCAUUUUUUGUUCAAAUAAGAUACCAGGAAGAUGAGUUAGCAUUAUCCUCGCUGCUAAAAAAAAAAAACAUGGCGGCAGAGUUUUUAGACUGGGAAGUGGACGAGUGUUCGCCCAGUGGAUUUAAACAUGAGAAGCAGCUCUCUGCCCCACUCAGACGGUUCUACAACCUAAACAAGAGAAAGUCAUUUGCUGCCUUUGUGGCAUCCAAGAGGGAAGGCGGCCAGGAAGACGGACGCCCGUCUUGGUGCUGCUGUGACCACAUCUUCAAAGAGGACGCUGCCAUUCACAAGCACGUCGCCAGGACGCACGGGAGCGAGAUCCAGAAGCUGGCACUGUCCGAGUACAGUUGCAUGCUGAGUCAGGCAGAAGAGGAACCUAAACAUCAGCCAACGAAUGAACGCGUGGACGUGUCAGAGUGGAUCCCAGACAUGAGUCACAUCCCUCAGGAGCACCUUGAAAAAGGCCCCGGCAAAGUUCUGUUGUAUUAUCGCUACUGCCAAGUGAAGGAGCCACACGUCAUCUGUGCUUGGCAGAGAACUUUAUGUGAGCUCCUGCACCUGACCGGCAAGGUGAGGGUGGCCACAGAGGGCAUCAACGGGACGGUGGGUGGGACUCAUGUCGCCACGGACCUUUACGUGCAAGCCAUGUGUGUGCAUCCUCUUUUCAGCAUGGACAAAGAGGAUUUUAAGACAAGCGAUGGCGGUCCAGAAUGUUUCACAGGUCUAAAGGUCGGGGUCUUCAAGGAAAUCGUACCAAUGGGAUUGGAUCCUGACAUCGUCUCUUACCAACUAGCAGGAGUUCAUUUGGAGCCUGCGGAGUUCCACAAAGAAGUGAAGGCACUUUUGGCUAAAGGGGAUUCGUGCAGUGACACCGUCCUGCUAGACUGCCGCAACUUUUACGAGAGUAAAAUUGGGCAGUUUACCCGGUGUCUGGCCCCUGAUAUCCGCAAAUUCAGCUACUUCCCGGACUACGUGGACCAGAACCUGGAGCUUUUCCGAGACAAGAAGGUGCUCAUGUACUGCACAGGAGGUAUCCGCUGUGAGCGAGGCUCCGCUUACCUUCGCUCAAAAGAAGUCUGCAAAGAGGUUUACCAACUGAAAGGUGGAAUACAUAAAUACUUGGAGCAAUUCCCAGAUGGCUUCUAUCGUGGGAAGCUUUUUGUUUUUGACGAGCGCUACACCAUCUCCUCCAACCAUGACGUCAUCUCCAGCUGCCGGUACUGUGGAUGCCCCUGGGACCAGUACGAGCUGUGCACCACCCAGUUCUGCUGCCAGCUGGUUCUCUCCUGUCCCGCUUGCAGGUCAGACACGCACACCGCCUGCUGCCCCACAUGCGGCAGCAAAGGACAGGACAAUGCGCCGCGCAAAGAGGAGUGCGAGUGCACCGAUGGACGUCCCAGAAUCCCUCAGGAUGUGAAGUAACCAGCUGGACAUAAACACACGGUGAUCCUAAUCAGCCACUUCAUUAGGUACACCGUCGAUUGACAUCGAAUAGAAGAGCUGUAAGAAACACCCCUCAGCAUGAAACGGUGUCUUUGAACGCCACUUAAAACCACAUCUACAUUUUAUAUAGCUCUUCUAUUGUCUCUCAGACAGGUGUACUAGUAUUCCUAAUGAAUUAGAUGACCAAUAAUAUUUUAAUUUAACAUUUGUACAUAGCAGCCCUUCAAAUAAAACAUGUGUUCCUUCUGGGCAAUUUUUAAUCAAUAAAGUACUGCUGGCUAUUAGGCAUGGUUUGGAAGCAUUUGAACCCAAAACGCAGAGAAAUAUGCUAGCUUUAUAUUGCACCAUAUGGGGUGAAAUGUAUUAUAUAUUUGGUGGUGGAAUUAAACUAAAUACACUGAGCAGUUUCAGCAGAGUAAUAAGAGUGAGUUCUGCAUAUUUUUUGCAGUGUGCAGUAGCUCCUGAAGGCCACCAGGUGGCAGCAUUUUCCCAUGUCGUGAAACGAGAUUGUAAAGACUUAACAUUUAGUUUUCUUUGUAGUGGGUUUUUCUUCUAGUAGUAUUGUUUUUAGAGGCUAUUACGUUUAUUUUUUUAUUUGAAAACCAUACAAAACAUAGGGUGUUAUGCUUGUACAUUUGAAAUUCUAUUAUAUGGUUUUUUUUUAUGAAAAAAAGAAAAGAAACUCAAAUUAUUAUGUGAUGUCCUUUUAUUGCAUUAAUUGCAUGUCAUUAUUUCAACCCUACCCCUCCAAAUCAGUGUCCUGUCCUCUGAUUGGUCGCGUCGCUGAUUGGCCUCACACGUGACUUGGUGGUGGAAUUAAACUAAAUACACAGAGCAGUUUCAGCAGAGUAAUAAGAGUGAGUUCUGCAUAUUUUUUGCAGUGUGCAGUAGCUCCUGAAGACCACCAGAUGGCAGCAUUUUCCCAUGUCGUGACCUCAAAUCAGAGCCCAAACUAGAUUGUAAAGAUUUAACAUUUAGUUUUCUUUGUAGUGGGUUUUUCUUCUAGUAGUAUUGUUUUUCGAAUCUAUUACGUUUUGUUAUUUGAAAAACAUACCCAAGGGUGUCAUGCUUGUACAUUUGAAAUUCUAAUUAUAUGUUUUGAAAAAAAAAGAAAAAAAAGAAAAGAAACUCAAAUUCUUAUGUGAUGUAAUUUUAUUGCAUUAAUUGCAUGUCAUUAUUUCAACGCUACCCCUCCAAAUCAGUGUCCUGUCCUCUGAUUGGUCGCGUCGCUGAUUGGCCUCGCAUGUGAUUGGCUGAAAGUUCCGGGUAGGGACAGUCAGUGGCCAGCAGUUUGUUUGUCUGCCUGCGGCUCAAAGUUUGAGCACUGUGCCUUACCGCUGGAGUGGAACCGGACCCCGCGGCGUCAUUUUUAGCCCCUCUCGUUCAACUAUUUUUGAAUUGUUCGUAUUUUUUAUUUUUGUUUUGGUUGGUGCUCGCAGUUCUUCCCUUCCCGCGGCUCGUGCUCGUGUCCGCCUCGGGGUGCGUUUGGCAUCAAACUUUGACAAAAGUCUUCAUUGUUGUUGCUUUUGUUGCAGUUUCAUUUUGAUCCUAUUUCCAACUUAAACUGACCACUUGGGCACGGAUCAGCUGAUUGACGUCAUUAAAUAAUUCAUCCUUGGCGGGACUAACUCACCGUGUUGACAUCCUCUCUCUGCUGGAAAUAUUCACGUUGAAGACGUCUUCUGUCGUCCAUUUCUCAAAGUAAAACCAGCAUGAGGCCACUGUCCUUCUUCCUGGUGCUGCUGCUGCUGGAGUCGGUCCUGAUGUGCUGCGCUGCCAGAGAACCCUCCCCAAGUGCAAUGUCUCCAAGCUGCCGUUGAGCAGGUGUUAUUUCAGCACCAGAAGAACAUUCACGCCAUCUAAAAGACGGAUCGACUGACGUGUAGGGAAGCUCAAGCUCAUUUUCCGUGUCAAGAAAGCCAAGUGGUGCUGACAAAAUGAAGCUUUUGCUCCUCUUGAUUGAUUUUUAUUUCCAUCUAUGGCAACUUUGCACAGAGAAAAGCAGCAGCAGCAGCGGCGGCCCUGAUCCAAACAAACAGCACCGUAUGUUCCGACACUAGAAGGCACUUAAGUUUCCAAGUCUGGAAGGAACCAAAGAAAGCACAUUAAAGUGACUUCAUACCAAAAACGGCCCAUGUUUACUUUAUGGGAAAUAAAUUAUAUUAAACAGAAAAUGAGCUCCAAACUGGAAGGUCGUGUCUGCUAUUGUGUUUUCCCGUCUUCACAAUAUGCUAUAAAAACCUGCCUACAGGGGGCGGGGCACACACGUUUUUUGCGUUUUUUUUUACGGUCGCACAAACAACUAGGAUGUCACGUGGCAAAUGAAUAAAGGAAAGCCAAAUGGACUAAACAGACUCAAAGUUGUAAAAACCCUUCUUCUCCUCUCCUGCCCCUCUGGUGUACCACACAUGGACUGGAGCUUUUUAUUCUCCAGCUAUACUUUGGAACCAACACUGAACUGUGAAGGUUGCUGGUUGACUUUUUUAUUAGCCAAAGUGGCCAGUUCUGUCCAGGCAACAUUUUUAAUUUUACAUAUUACUAACUCCUUAUUCCUAUUUCUAAAAUCACAAAUACUUCAACUUGCUGAUAUAGUUCAUCUUCAAACAGCUAAAAUAAUGCAUAAGGCUAAAAAUAAGCAAUUAGCUAAAAAUGUCAUCCAAUACUUCUCUACAAGAGAGGAGAAAUAUGAUCUCAGGGAAGAAGUACAUUUGAAACACUUCUAUGCUAGGACUACGUUAUGCUAGCCAUAGAAUUUCAGUAUGUGGAAUCAAACUAUGGAAUGGAUUGAGUAAGGAAAUCAAACAAUGCACAACGAUGAGCCAAUUCAAGAAACAAUACAAGCAGUUGAUGUUUGCUAAAUACAAGGAUGAAGAGUCUUGAACCAGUCAUGAUGUGCUAUACAUAU